CCUUACGCGUGGGGCUACACACGUGCUACAAUGGUGGUGACAGAGGGAUAAUCCCUAAAAGCCAUCUCAGUUCGGAUUGUCCUCUGCAACUCGAGGGCAUGAAGUUGGAAUCGCUAGUAAUCGCGGAUCAGCAUGCCGCGGUGAAUACGUUCCCGGGCCUUGUACACACCGCCCGUCACACCAUGGGAGUUGGUUCUACCCGAAGGCGCUGCGCUAACCGCAAGGGGGCAGGCGACCACGGUAGGGUCAGCGACUGGGGUGAAGUCGUAACAAGGUAGCCGUA
rnacentral:rRNA from 1 species